UUUCUCUUCGUAUCUUGGUUCUCAUUGUUCUUCAAUUUGAUAUGGUCUUUCAUCGCUCUUUUCAGCGUCUGAAGAAAUGCUUCAAUUUCUGCAAUAUGUCUAUGGACGCCCCAGAUGGAAAAGAGGUUAAGGGAAGCCGAAGGCCGGAUACGCGUUGCUCUCGAUCUCAAAGCCGGUCUUCAUCCUCUCAAGCUACGCAGAACAAUUGAUUUUGGAUCAGUAGACCAAUUCGAAGGUGCAUUUGUCAACAAUGAUCAAAAUGGAGAAGGGGUAUGUCCUGACUUAUAUUUCAUACACAGAUCUGACUGAUGUUCAUACGCACAAGGAAGAAGAUUCUCAUUAAAAAUGUUCGAGUUCAUUUUUCUUUUAUUGGGAUUAAAAAACUGAAGACCGACAAAUCUUAUGCCAUAGAAGCGGACAAGAACAACAAUAACAACAACCCAGUAAAAUUCUACUAGUGGGGUCUGGGGAGG